rnacentral:lncRNA from 1 species
CUAAAAAUUAUACAUAAGGAUUUCCAAAUCUUAGAGUUUCAAAAAGUAACCAUAGGGAAAAAAAUUGUAGUAAUUUCUAUAGGCAAUAUUCUGUUUGGGUUAUCAAAAGAGCAACUCCAUGCUCCGCAUUAUUUAUAGUCCUUAUUUUAAAGUUUUAUUAGCUCUCUUUACAGAACAGAUGUGAAGGAGUUGAGAGGACAAUCAACUAGAUUUUAUUUUUAGAAUAUAAAGAACAUUUUUAAAAUGAUUAAACAGCAUUAACUGUACCUCAGGAUCUGCGCAUGCAUCUGAAUAGCACACGGCUCAAAUGGUCCUUUCCUUUUGUUACAUUUAGUAGUUGUGCCAUCUUUAGUUUUUGCUUUGAACAUUGUUUUCCUAAAAGUCAACUAUUACUUUCCCAUCAAGUUGGUUUUAUAGUUAUGUCUAAAUUUAUGGUUCAUGUCAAAGUAUUUUUGACUUAAUAUCCUUUUAAAAAUAUUUAAACUGAUUUAUUGCUCAAUUGGUGAUAGCUGAGAAAAUUUUUUCAAUAUGUAGAAUUUUCAUGGUUAUUUUGUAUGAAUUAUUUUUCUGGGUAAGCCAUCUGCCACAGAAAUUGACACUAUGGUGAGAUUAAUGUUAAUGAAAUGAGCAGUAGAGAAGCUACUGGAUUGCUUUAAAACAUUCUUUGAUUAAAUUACUACAUAGUUGGUAAGUUCAUAGUUUUAAGUUACUUAAUUGAAGCCCUCAGAAGUUGCAAAGAAUUUAUCUGAUAAAUCUGCCUUUGCACAAAUGUGAUACUGAUGCAUGGACGGCUUUGCGGAAUGACCUUUGAUAUUUGUGCCUAGUGGAAGGUAUGGAGCUAAACAAUUAAAGAACUCUUCAUUAUGGAUAGGCACAUAUUGGAUCUCUGGUAUUUUGGGUAGUGGUAUUAACUUGACAAUUCUAAUUUAUUUUAGUUAGUAUAUGUAGCAAGUUAGUAUGUUUGUUAGUAGUUUAUUGUACUUCAUUCCAGUUGGUAAUAUAGUUUUCAUCACACUAAACUUUUUAUACUAAAUUUCUGUAGAAGCUUGUUGGGUUUGCCUUCACCAGAAGGUACUUUAAAUACCUACCAUAGCUGAUUUGUUAUAAAGAAACAAAAUGGGUGUUCUUCUGUUUCCUUUUGAUUAUGUUUACUGUAAUUAUUUCAUUUUGGAUUUAUACAUUUACAAUUGAAUAAGGAUUAUAGGUUGAUAAGCUGUUUAUUGUGAAAAGAUGUGUUUUGUUACAAAUACUUGUUUUAAAAAUUAAUAAGCCCCCAGGAAGUACAGCAUUGACUGGCACAACUGCCCAUAGUGAGCUUCCCAACUAACUGCCUUCAGUGGAUUCGGGCAAGUGCAAAGUCUUUGGCCUAUUGUGUGACAAAGAGGUAUAUAUUAAAGGAAAAGAAAAAUGACAUGAAUAAGAAAAUUCCGUCAACAAGGUUGGAGUAGGGAGUUGUUGAGGGGUUUAGUUUGUUUUAAAAGGUAUGUGAGGGAGUGGUGGGGUGGAUUUGUGUUUCUGACUUUUUUUCUUUAAGCAAAUUCCAUAUGUUACCAAAAGCACAUGCUGUAUAUUUUCUUCCCCUUUUGUGUGUAUAUAGUAUUUUGAAAGAUAAAUGAAUUGGGUAUUUGUAUGUGGGAUGUACAAAAUUGUGGCCGCUCUCUUUGUGGAAGGAAAAAACAUAAAUGAAGUUAAUGCACUUCUUUUCCUAGCCCAAAAGUCACUGUGAUUAUAUUUUUUUAAUGAAGUUUAGAAAAAAAGCUGUUGUCUUCUCAAUUGUAAAAUUAGUUUCAAAAUGCUGCUUCUCUUAUCAUUAGUCUAGUAAUUGUUGAACUUUUCUGCAAACUGCAUUUUACAAAAUUGAAACUUGGAAGCUGUAUUAACUUUUAUAGUUAAACAUUGUAUUAAAUAAACUAUACUAUAAU